UACGAAGGGGGCUAGCGUUGCUCGGAAUCACUGGGCGUAAAGGGCGCGUAGGCGGACUCUUAAGUCGGGGGUGAAAGCCCAGGGCUCAACCCUGGAAUUGCCUUCGAUACUGAGAGUCUUGAGUUCGGAAGAGGUUGGUGGAACUGCGAGUGUAGAGGUGAAAUUCGUAGAUAUUCACAAGAACACCAGUGGCGAAGGCGGCCAACUGGUCCGAUACUGACGCUGAGGCGCGAAAGCGUGGGGAGCAAACAGG
rnacentral:rRNA from 1 species